rnacentral:rRNA from 1 species
GGUUAAGCGACUAAGCGUACACGGUGGAUGCCCUGGCAGUCAGAGGCGAUGAAGGACGUGCUAAUCUGCGAAAAGCGUCGGUAAGGUGAUAUGAACCGUUAUAGCCGGCGAUGUCCGAAUGGGGAAACCCAGUGUGAUUCGUCACACUAUCGUUAACUGAAUACAUAGGUUAACGAGGCGAACCGGGGGAACUGAAACAUCUAAGUACCCCGAGGAAAAGAAAUCAACCGAGAUUCCCCCAGUAGCGGCGAGCGAACGGGGAGCAGCCCAGAGUCUGAAUCAGCUUGUGUGUUAGUGGAACGGUCUGGAAAGUCCGACGGUACAGGGUGAUAGUCCCGUACACCAAAAUGCACAGGUUGUGAACUCGAAGAGUAGGGCGGGACACGUGGUAUCCUGUCUGAAUAUGGGGGGACCAUCCUCCAAGGCUAAAUACUCCUGACUGACCGAUAGUGAACCAGUACCGUGAGGGAAAGGCGAAAAGAACCCCGGCGAGGGGAGUGAAAAAGAACCUGAAACCGUGUACGUACAAGCAGUGGGAGCACCUUCGGGUGUGACUGCGUACCUUUUGUAUAAUGGGUCAGCGACUUAUAUUCUGUAGCAAGGUUAACCGUAUAGGGGAGCCGCAGGGAAACCGAGUCUUAACUGGGCGUUAAGUUGCAGGGUAUAGACCCGAAACCCGGUGAUCUAGCCAUGGGCAGGUUGAAGGUUGGGUAACACUAACUGGAGGACCGAACCGACUAAUGUUGAAAAAUUAGCGGAUGACUUGUGGCUGGGGGUGAAAGGCCAAUCAAACCGGGAGAUAGCUGGUUCUCCCCGAAAGCUAUUUAGGUAGCGCCUCGUGAACUCAUCUUCGGGGGUAGAGCACUGUUUCGGCUAGGGGGUCAUCCCGACUUACCAACCCGAUGCAAACUACGAAUACCGAAGAAUGUUAUCACGGGAGACACACGGCGGGUGCUAACGUCCGUCGUGAAGAGGGAAACAACCCAGACCGCCAGCUAAGGUCCCAAAGUCAUGGUUAAGUGGGAAACGAUGUGGGAAGGCACAGACAGCCAGGAUGUUGGCUUAGAAGCAGCCAUCAUUUAAAGAAAGCGUAAUAGCUCACUGGUCGAGUCGGCCUGCGCGGAAGAUGUAACGGGGCUAAACCAUGCACCGAAGCUGCGGCAGCGACACUAUGUGUUGUUGGGUAGGGGAGCGUUCUGUAAGCCUGCGAAGGUGUGCUGUGAGGCAUGCUGGAGGUAUCAGAAGUGCGAAUGCUGACAUAAGUAACGAUAAAGCGGGUGAAAAGCCCGCUCGCCGGAAGACCAAGGGUUCCUGUCCAACGUUAAUCGGGGCAGGGUGAGUCGACCCCUAAGGCGAGGCCGAAAGGCGUAGUCGAUGGGAAACAGGUUAAUAUUCCUGUACUUGGUGUUACUGCGAAGGGGGGACGGAGAAGGCUAUGUUAGCCGGGCGACGGUUGUCCCGGUUUAAGCAUGUAGGCUGGUUAUCCAGGCAAAUCCGGAUAAUCAAGGCUGAGGUGUGAUGACGAGGCACUACGGUGCUGAAGUAACAAAUGCCCUGCUUCCAGGAAAAGCCUCUAAGCAUCAGGUAACAUCAAAUCGUACCCCAAACCGACACAGGUGGUCAGGUAGAGAAUACCAAGGCGCUUGAGAGAACUCGGGUGAAGGAACUAGGCAAAAUGGUGCCGUAACUUCGGGAGAAGGCACGCUGGUGUGUAGGUGAAGCCCCUGCGGGUGGAGCUGAGACCAGUCGAAGAUACCAGCUGGCUGCAACUGUUUAUUAAAAACACAGCACUGUGCAAACACGAAAGUGGACGUAUACGGUGUGACGCCUGCCCGGUGCCGGAAGGUUAAUUGAUGGGGUUAUCCGUAAGGAGAAGCUCUUGAUCGAAGCCCCGGUAAACGGCGGCCGUAACUAUAACGGUCCUAAGGUAGCGAAAUUCCUUGUCGGGUAAGUUCCGACCUGCACGAAUGGCGUAAUGAUGGCCAGGCUGUCUCCACCCGAGACUCAGUGAAAUUGAACUCGCUGUGAAGAUGCAGUGUACCCGCGGCAAGACGGAAAGACCCCGUGAACCUUUACUAUAGCUUGACACUGAACAUUGAGCCUUGAUGUGUAGGAUAGGUGGGAGGCUUUGAAGCGUGGACGCCAGUCUGCGUGGAGCCAACCUUGAAAUACCACCCUUUAAUGUUUGAUGUUCUAACGUUGGCCCCUUACCGGGGUUGCGGACAGUGUCUGGUGGGUAGUUUGACUGGGGCGGUCUCCUCCCAAAGCGUAACGGAGGAGCACGAAGGUUAGCUAAUCCUGGUCGGACAUCAGGAGGUUAGUGCAAUGGCAUAAGCUAGCUUGACUGCGAGCGUGACGGCGCGAGCAGGUGCGAAAGCAGGUCAUAGUGAUCCGGUGGUUCUGAAUGGAAGGGCCAUCGCUCAACGGAUAAAAGGUACUCCGGGGAUAACAGGCUGAUACCGCCCAAGAGUUCAUAUCGACGGCGGUGUUUGGCACCUCGAUGUCGGCUCAUCACAUCCUGGGGCUGAAGUAGGUCCCAAGGGUAUGGCUGUUCGCCAUUUAAAGUGGUACGCGAGCUGGGUUUAGAACGUCGUGAGACAGUUCGGUCCCUAUCUGCCGUGGGCGCUGGAGAAUUGAGGGGGGCUGCUCCUAGUACGAGAGGACCGGAGUGGACGCAUCACUGGUGUUCGGGUUGUCAUGCCAAUGGCACUGCCCGGUAGCUAAAUGCGGAAGAGAUAAGUGCUGAAAGCAUCUAAGCACGAAACUUGCCCCGAGAUGAGUUCUCCCUGAGACUUUAAGUCUCCUGAAGGAACGUUGAAGACGACGACGUUGAUAGGCCGGGUGUGUAAGCGCAGCGAUGCGUUGAGCUAACCGGUACUAAUGAACCGUGAGGCUUAACCUUACAACGCCGAAGAUGUUUUG